rnacentral:snRNA from 1 species
GUGCAUGCUUUAGCGGCACAUAUCCUGAAAAUGAAAUGAUACAGAGAAGAUUACCAUGGCCCCAAGUAAGGGUGACACACAAAUUUAUGAAGACUUUGGCAUUUUU